UACGUAGGGGGGCUAGCGUUGUCCGGAAUCAUUGGGCGUAAAGAGCGUGUAGGCGGCCCGGUAAGUCCGCUGUGAAAGUCGGGGGGCUCAACCCUCGAAUGCCGGUGGAUACUGUCGGGCUAGAGUGCGGAAGAGGCGAGUGGAAUUCCUGGUGUAGCGGUGAAAUGCGCAGAUAUCAGGAGGAACACCGAUUGCGAAGGCAGCUCGCUGGGACGUAACUGACGCUGAGACGCGAAAGCGUGGGGAGCAAACAGG
rnacentral:rRNA from 1 species